rnacentral:rRNA from 1 species
AGUGAACGCUGGCGGUAGGCCUAACACAUGCAAGUCGAACGGCAGCACAGUAAGAGCUUGCUCUUACGGGUGGCGAGUGGCGGACGGGUGAGGAAUACAUCGGAAUCUACUUUUUCGUGGGGGAUAACGUAGGGAAACUUACGCUAAUACCGCAUACGACCUACGGGUGAAAGCAGGGGAUCUUCGGACCUUGCGCGAUUGAAUGAGCCGAUGUCGGAUUAGCUAGUUGGCGGGGUAAAGGCCCACCAAGGCGACGAUCCGUAGCUGGUCUGAGAGGAUGAUCGGCCACACUGGAACUGAGACACGGUCCAGACUCCUACGGGAGGCAGCAGUAGGGAAUAUUGGGCAAUGGGCGCAAGCCUGAUGGAGCAAUGCCGCGUGAGUGAAGAAGGCCUUCGGAUUGUAAAGCCCUGUUGUUGGGGAAGAAAAAAAGCGGAAGAAAAUACGGCUGUUCUGACGGUACCUAAAGAGAAAGCAACGGCUAACUUCGUG